CAGCUCCCGGAAACUUGGUAAGUAGAAAUCCUGGCCUCACCCGGUAAUUACGCUAACCCUACGUAAGCACUCUGUUCACUGAAGAGUUUAGAACGGGUUUUCAAAGACAUGACUUACUUUCCCUACUUGUCUCUGAGUAUCAUUUAAUUUUGAAUUAACUUAAUUAUUGGAAGACAGAAAAAGGCUCCCAAAGCCAGAACAGAGCCAUGCCAGAAGCCUGGUCAUCCCACCCACUACGACAGACGGACCAAGGUGGGGCCUGUGAGCGUUGUUGAACCCAGGAAGACGAAAAGAACAAGUACUCAAAGACAACAGGCAAAUGUGAAGAAGGCCAAUCCAAUCUUCAUCUUGUAAUACGACCAAAACCAGCGGGGCAAAUGGGUCAGGAGCUCUGAAAUGACCCAGUUAAGUUCUGAGCAACGACAGAAAGAAGGACAUGUGUCACAUGGGCACCUCAUUUCCCAUCCUGUGCUACGCUGUCCUUCGCUGCAAAGCCCCCCUAGGGGCCAGCCCUGCCCUGCAGAGUGGGGGACGCCACAGCUCCGUGCAACACAGCCAGGCAGCCAACCGGAACCCCAGAGCCACGUCCUCCCCACGUCCGCUGCUUAACUGAACCAUCGACAUGAAAGCCACGCAGCCAGAAAUAAAACAAUAAGUUUCACCCGGGCCAAAACAAGCUUUGCAAAUCCCUAAAAUAAAGUAGCCCACUGAAUGAAAAUAAGCAGGGGAGGGUGGAAAAACAGUCGCUGGAAUCUGGUGUGCAGUCAGCACCAUCAGAAGCACGAUGUUGUUUUUGUAUAAAAAAGGAAAGUGGUGCCUCAGGAGGACCUGGAGGAGGCCAGCGGUCCAGGAACAACAUCCUGAGCGAUCGGCCGCGACAGCCACAGAGCAGCUGCACCAGCAGACCGACGCUGCUGCAAAGCUCACCUGCAGGGUCUUGCUCUCCCGUCAGGCGAGAAGGCCUCAUCUUGGAGUGACCAUCGCACCCAGCUCCACAAGACCAAAGGAUGUAUUUUUCAAGCUGAACGAUACACAUGUUAUCAUGAAAGUUUAAAGUUUGGAAUGUUAGCCCCAAGCAUGACGCUGCAAUAAAAUCGGGUCAAAUGGGUUUUCUUCACAUAGAAAUCUAAACUCCUGACCCACCAACUAGAGCCUGGGACCUAUUGUCUUCCUAAUACUGAGGAAGGAUGCUCUGUGCCUGACCAUCACCACCCUCUUGGUUGGUCAUGCCUGGGACUACCGUGCAGGGACCAUCCUUAAGCGGAAGCAUGGUCUGGGAAUAUAUGUCCUCUCCAGACAGUCCCUCUCUCCUUGCACCUAGGUAGGCAGGGAUCUCUUUAGAAGAAUCUCAGCUGUAUCUUUCUGUCCCUUCUGAACUUCCCCCCAUCUCCCCCGCUCCACAAUGCCCCCAGCAUCUGACUGCCCCUCGCUUCAACUUUUCUCUUGGCAGAGGCCGCCUACCCGGCCCCAUGACUCAGCACCCAUAGGGGUACUCCUGGGCACCUGCCCAUUUGGAAAUGUACUCAAGCAAGGGCAUGCUGCUUUCGGUUGUGAAGCAGAGCCCCUGGGCUGACUCAUCCUGACUCUGGAGAUGAAACCACCUGAUGCUUCCAGGGUUAAAGGGACAGAAAUAAUAAGCGGUUUCAUGAAAGUUCUGAGGGAGUUGGUCAAAAUCUCAGGCUACAUCUCUAAAAGAUCAACAGCAACAAAAACAAAUCUUAUCAAACAGAAGAGAUGAGUUGAGUAAUUCCUCAGUAUGAGCCAUGAGUCCUCCCUGACCAUCUAUUUAAAGUCUCAAAUUCUGUCUUAACCUCCUCACUCUAGUCUACAUUUUCUCCUUUUCUUAGCACUUAAACUCCUCAAGAAACAUACCAUUUAUUCUAGUAUUAUGGUUACUACUUUUCUCUUUCUCCCUACUAGAAUGUAAGUCCUGUGAGGGUUGGGAUUUUGCAUCGUUCAGUGGUGUACACUAAGGCCUUAAUAAAUAUUGUUUGAAUGAA